rnacentral:rRNA from 1 species
GUAGUCAUAUGCUUGUCUCAAAGAUUAAGCCAUGCAUGUCUAAGUAUAAACAACUUUAUACUGUAAAACUGCGAACGGCUCAUUAUAUCAGCAAUAAUUUAUUUGAUGAUUUCUUACUACAUGGAUAACUGUAGUAAUUCUAGAGCUAAUACAUGCGCAAAGUCCUAACUCGCGAGGGGAGGGAUGUAUUUAUUAGAUACAAAACCAAUGCGGGUUCUGCUCGCCAUUGUGUUGAAUCAUAGUAACUUAUCGAACGCCAUAGCCCUGUGCUGGGCGUAGAUCAUUCAAAUUUCUGCCCUAUCAGCUUUCGACGGUAGUGUAGUGGACUACCGUGGCGUCAACGGGUAACGGAGAAU